CAUAGAUGUUAUGCAAAUCAUGUACUUGCUCUCAUUUUUCUUAACUUACCAGGCAAAUCUUUACUAACCCAUCUAAGAUUUCAGAUACCACUCAACAGUUAGAAGCAAUGGUUGGAGAUAUUGAAGAUGCAGUUUUCUCUGUUGUGAAUCAAAAAAGGGGAAAUAUACUCGCUUCAAAUUGAUCAACUCCGUCAGUUUCAACAGUAAUGACAUUAUUCGGACCCAGGAUCGAGGCAAGAAAAGUUCUUUCAAGCUGUAAGAUCCAUGAAUUGAAUUGAGGAUUUGUUGGUCAGUCCUGUGAAGUUCCGACCUCAGUGGUGCCAUCUUAUGAAAUCUGUGGAUUCUAGAGUAGACAAAACAUUGACUUUGCUCCGGCGACAAGUUAUUGCAGAUCACCGAGCUCUUCUUUCAACUCUAGGGUGGCCACCAAAAGU